rnacentral:rRNA from 1 species
AGCAGCCACCUUUUAAAACGCGUCAAAGCGUAACCUUAAUUCCCAAAUACCAUUAAUCUUCAUGAACCCCUAAUUUAUAAUGAAUGACUCCAUAUUUAUAUGGAAGACACCAUGCUAGGAUUAGUAACAAGAAUUUAUAAUUCUCCAAAAUGCAAACAUAAACCAACAUGGAUAGACCAUUGGUAGUUACCGAACCUAAAUUCACUGCAAUAACACCCACAAGAAAACUCUGCAGUACUUACUCGUUAACCUAACACUAGCGCAUUACAGGAAAGAUUUAAAAAAAGAGAAGGAAUUCGGCAAAUCACGGCCCCGCCUGUUUACCAAAAACAUCGCCUCUUGACUUAUAAUAAGAGGUCCAGCCUGCCCAGUGAAUUUUUAACGGCCGCGGUAUCCUAACCGCGCGAAGGUAGCAUAAUCACUUGUUCUUUAAAUGGGGACUCGUAUCAACGGCAUCACGAGGGUUUUACUGUCUCCUCUUUUUGAUCAGUGAAAUUGAUCUUCCCGUGAAGAAGCGGGAAUAAUACUAUAAGACGAGAAGACCCCAUGGAGCUUAAAACCAAAUAACAACUUAACCACUCACCCCCCUAUAAAUUUAAGCCCUGUUAUAAGGUUUUCGGUUGGGGUGACCGCGGAGUAAAGCUCAUCCUCCACGACGGAAAGAACACACUCUUUAUUUAAGAACCACAAUUCUAGAAAUUAGUAUACUAACGUUUACUGACCCGAUAAUCGAUCAACGGACCAAGUUACCCUGGGGAUAACAGCGCAAUCUACUUCAAGAGCUCAUAUCGACAAGUAGGCUUACGACCUCGAUGUUGGAUCAGGGUAUCCCGGUGGUGCAGCCGCUACCGAAGGUUCGUUUGUUCAACGAUUAAAACCCUACGUGAUC